ACAGGCUUGUGCUGUUCCGAGAAGCUGUCAUCAGCCCCAGCUUUUCCCAUUGGUCUCUAGGCUGGGAAACACUCCCAAGUCUUUUCAGGCUUGUUCAGCUGUGGAUAACAUACCGAAGAAGGAUCCCAACAACACUUUUGUCAGAACUGUCAUUCACUUAAAUGAAGAUAUAGGUUUUGUAUAUUAUCUAAGUUAAACUGAACUCUUAAUGCUGAAUCUGUAAGCCACAGUUUGAGCACCCAAGCAAACUGGGAGAGAGGAAGCCUCCUCAGCAAUACCAUUCCAGAAGAAUAAAGAAAAAAAAGCUUGUAACAGAGGGGAGUUUACAGAGGAACAGGGAGGAAAAAGAAAGUCCAUAGUGAAGAUAGGCCCAUCACAAGGAACGGUGCCUAUAAAACAGACCAACCUGAGAGCUCUGAUCAUCCCAGUGUUCUUCCAGUAUCACUGUAAACAUCCUGACAAGCCUAAGCUUCGGACCAGAACAGAAUCAGUCAAGCUGAGAAGAUGAGCUGGGGAGUUCCUGAACAGAUAGAGAACGGAAAAGAAGGUGUUUCACUGACUGGGAAGAUCACCAUGUAGCAGCGGACGAUGUUAAAAUAUGAUGAUGGAUUUUGACUGGCAAACUAAAAAGAAAGGUGUUUUUAUCUCAGAACUACUUACUUGUUCCCCUCUGACAACAGCACAGUUAGUAAGAUCGGUUCAAAAGAAAAUGGUAGCCUUGUCACAGUCAUAAUUCUUAAUUCUGUUACAUCAGAGAGAAGACAACAAACAUGCAAGCAUUUAUACUCUCAUAUUAUACAAUGUUCCUUACCAUUUCUGACUUUGUAAGCAUCUUCCAGGUAAUACAAAUACUUUGUGUAUUAGCGCUUUACAUGGGAACAAUGGAAGACUCUAUUUGUUACACAAAUAUUUCAGAGAAAUAAACUAAAUGCAGAGGAUAGAUACCUCCUCCACUAGUAAUCAACAAGCGGGAAACAGAGGCCAAAUAUUCCAAUUUUCACAUUUAUAAGACAUCUAGCCUUAAUGUACCCAGAAACUUCAUAACCAGAAGUGGCUAAAACACAUGCUUUAGACAUCCCAGUGUAACUGCCCAUAAGACACUUGUCACCCAGAAGCAGCAUGUUCAUAUAGCUGCCCUGUCUCCAGUCGAGAGCUGGUAAUUGCACACAGCAUUGAACUCCAUCAGAGCAAUGGACAAAUCUCCAAAUGUGUGAGCACCUCUGCACUGUGCUCUACUGCUCAGUUUGGAUCUUCAGUUUCUAGGUCUGACUGAUGUAAGAACCUCUUCCAAGAAGCCUAAUUGAAAUACUGAGUAUCUGUCAUUUGCGUUACAGGAUACUCUGCAUUUCUAUUGGGUGGGAGUGUUCACUCUAAGUUUCUUAUAUCCAAGAGCUCUUGAUCGGUAUACCAGCAGGGAUGUUUCUUACAGAGAAUGAAAAUCGGACUAGCAGACACGCUUCCUCCCAAAAGAAGAUUCAACUGUAUCACCAUAAAUAGACUUGAGAAGACAGGGAAGAAUUCUAUCAAAACCAGAUGAGAAUCUGGAUAAAAAUUCAGCAGUAAACUUGAAUCAUAGGGGAGAGUAAAUGUAGCUCUCAGGUAGGAAAAGUGUCUUUCCUGAAAGAAUGCUAUAAAAUUAAGUCUAUAAAAUGCAACCCUUAUGGUUAAUUAGCAUUCUAUACAGUAGAUUACAUUUCAAAGUUUGAUUCUACAUUAUGAACUACAGCCUUACAACUCCAGGCAAUUAAUUUGCAAAGGAUGUGAUUAUUCUUUUUGUUAUGCUCACAUAGUAAAUUGUUGCUUCACUUCCUUCUUCCAUACACAGCCAUGAUUUUAUUUUGCUGCAUUUCCAAGUCCUUAGCUCUGACUUGGAUAGCCAGACAGUGGAAUGUUUCCAAAACUGCUAAUGUACAUAUUAAAUUGAUCAGACCCCAAACAUUGCCUUCCAAAGGAAAUGAUUCAUUUAUUAAGGUUCUAAUUAGAGUCAAUGAAACAGCUGGUUAUGAGUUCUUUUUCCUGGCCUCAACAACAUUUUAACAUCUGUUUGUAUGAGCAAGAACAGGGCACUGACUCAUUAAGGAGAAACUAGUAGCACUCCAUUUUAGAUAAAGUUACAGUCAGUGUUUCAGUAUAAGGCCUGAUUUCACCCUGAAACUUUAAAACUCCAAGACAAAAAUGCAAACCCUAGUUUGGGAUGAAGUUUUAGAACAUGCCCACUGAAUAAUUCAAUAAAAUUGGUAUGUAGGCACAAGAGGACUUUUAUUUAAUUUAAUAGAGUGUUUGAGUCAGACAGGUAUAACUUGAAGCUGAUUUUAUUUGUGUAAUUGUGUAACUGAGGGCAAGAGUCAGAUGCCAGAUUCUGCUUUAGCAUGGAGUUUAACCCACUUGAGUUACAGAUUGGGUACAAAGUGAACCAGAACUUGGAUUCUGACAGCCUUCAAAUGCUUUCUCAUAGUCACCUGGAAGACAAUGGAACAGCUGGUGAGGAGUUAUAAGCCUAACUUGCAUUUUAACAUCUAGUCAUGCAUGUUCUUCCCUGUUCUGUGUACUCACCUCAUUCACUGAAACCCUGUUUUGUUCAGUAUUUAAAUGACCUAUCUCAAGGAGUCUGCUCCCAGUGUUUACUGCACUUGAAAGCCUCCCGGGGACCAGCUCUGCUCAUUUCAAUAUACUGCUAGCUGGCCCAAGGUUGUCAACAUGUUAGCACAAGUCUGGGAUGAAGGCUAUAUUUAGAGAUAUUUAUUGCAAAUCAAUACUUUUGUAACAUCAUCUUAAGAAGCCUAGAGAUAAAAAAGGGCUGAAAUCAUGGCAUCUCAGGGAAUGCAAUUCAUGUCAAAUAUUUGAAUCAAAUGUAGUUUGGCUCUAUACAUAGAAAAUAUUUAACUUCAGAGAUGGUAAUUGCCUUCUGGGAGGAUAAGCUUUGUUAGAUAAGAGGUAUAGAAACAAACUGAUCUGCCCAGGGUCACAUUACAAAUCACAGGAAAAGGCAGAAGCAGAAACCAGGAGUUUCUGACUCCUACUACAUGCUGAUUCCUUCUGAUCAGACUGUCAUAGUUAGGAUCUGUGAAAUUAAUUACAAAAGAUGUAAUUGAAUCACCAAAGGCAACAGAACACAUUUCACUAAUUUAGUUUAUCAGACGUUAAUAAGGCAGUUUUUAAACAACAAACUGGUAAAACAACAGCUCAGAAUGUCUUACUGCUUAUUUUCAGCAUAGUUUUGGCAUGUGGCAGUUCUCAACACAAGGUGACAUAGAUGCAUUUGCUGAAAGAGGCAAGGGCUAUAAUAACAUAAGGCUAGAUUCUGCUGCCUCUCUGGCCUGUAAGCAAUCACUCACUCUGUGAAGCACAUCAGAAUCAGUCACAAGCAGAAUAGGGUACCACUCAGAAAAAGUAGGACCACGAAGGAGAAAAGUUAAUACAACGCUGUCAACAAGUCAUAAUAAAAAAGUUUAGUAUUCCUUGUAACAUACAGGCUGUCUUAAACAUAAAUAUUCAUGCACAUAUGAAAAACUCUAACUCUGUUCAGAAACAGUGCAAUUUGUAUUGCACCAUUUAUUGCUGCAAUUACCAAACACCCCACUGCCCCAGAAGCUCUGUGGAAACAUGACAAUGUGAAUCCUUUCACAGCCCACCUUUGACAGAACAGAAAGGCAGUUCCUGGCAUUAAGCAAGCUGUAGCAGGUACAAAGAAACUAAUUAACUGAAUUAUAACACUGUUAACAGUAAUUAAAUCAAUGUUGUCCUAAAAAUGAGAAUUUGUACUAAUCUCCAAGAGUGCGGAGAGAUUUGUGAGGCUAUUGUUCUAGAUUUUUUUCAGGAUUUUUCCAUCUUUGGUGUACAACAGCAAAUAGGGUUCAUUCUGUAAGGCAGGAAACACUGCCUGUGCUAUUUGUGUCUUCAAGGGAGGCUGGCUGGAAGGAAACAGACAUACCUAUGGGAAGUGUGUUGUGCCCAACAGCAAUAACACUCACAUGAAGAAAUUCAGACUUCAUUCCUCUUCCCUUUGACACUGAGACUAUUUUUUAGAAAGACAGACCCUUCCGACAAUUGAAGCAAGCUGCAGUCACAGAACAGCUGCCACAGGAAGUGAAAAAAAAAUUAGCUACCUACUUGCUAUUUCUGAAUAUAACCAGGUAAAUAACAUAACAUCCUUUAAUUUCUUUCAGUUUAGCAGCUGACUUGGGUAACUUUUAGCCUUGAAGGCUUGACUGUUGGGACAAACAUGUAAUCCUUACUCUCUCAGCUCAUAUCUCAUUUGUUUUCCCUAUAUUAAAGCCACAGUCAGCACAGAGGGAACACAGCAUUGACUGCAUCCCCAAAAGCAAACACCAAAUAAAACAUCAUCACAAAAAUGAAAUUUUACUGGUACUUUUGACAACAGUAGAAAUUUAAUCUACAAAUGUUAUAUGCCAUACUCUAUUUUAAUUCAUGCGCUUCUAAGAGAGAAGUUAUACUAUUUACCCAUUACUAGCUUCUUCAGAGCACUACUUAAAGAGCUAUGUACUACUUAGCUUGAGUAUCUUUAUCUAUGGCUGGGAGUUAAAUACUCACCUCACCGGCUUCCAGGUCCUUCAACGAACUAGGAACAUUCAUGGAUGACCUGCACUUUUUUCCCCUGCAUUCAUCUUCUGAGAUUUAUGCAGGAACAUCAGACUUGGAGUGCCAGAUUCCCCUUCAAAUUUUCACUCCAGUAAUAUUAGGGUUUUAUAUCCAAAUAUUUAGAAGGUGGUAUUCUGGGAUAUGAAUGCAUGUCAUUGUGCAUCCAGUCCAGAAAACCCAAGUUUCUUAUGGCAACACUUGUCAAGUAUCAGUAUUAAAAGGAGAUGCUCUCAGGCAAUUUCCUUGCAAAAUACUUUACUGCCUUUCAGUAGGCUGAUUAAAGUAAUCAGAAGCAAGUGACAGAGAAUGAACUACCUAAGUAAAUAAACUUCCAAUCAACCUUCCAGAACCAAGUGUCAUAUCAAACAUGCUGCACAUUGAGUAUUCCUAGACAGAGAAAGCAUUUCAAGUUUCUAUCUUUUUCAUAAAAAUGAUGUUUGUUUAUCAAAGUAAGAAUUUUGUUAGCAAGUUUGUUAGAAUUUCAAUUCUCUCAAGGCUAAAACAAACAAACAAUUGAUCAGGUCAAAGUUUAUCCACAGCUACAAAUUACAUAGAAAAACAAACAAACAAACACCCCAAAUGCCUUUUACAAGUCAGCUUGCCAAUUACUAUCCACUGCCCCAACCCCCCACCUUGCCUUUUCCUUCUAAACAGAUGCGGCACAUCUGAUCUUUGGCAUGGUUUGUUUGAAGUACCAGAGACGUGCCUUUUGCAAGCACAUAUUCAAAUUAGCAUUCUCUAGGUACAGAUUAUUAGUGUAAAACUAAAUAUUUAAUGGAAGAAGUAAAGAGAAAGAUUCUUUCUUAUUUGACAGCAAGAUAUGAUAAUGAUGCCUUAACAGAGUUUUAAUCUUCACAUAAGUUAUGUUUCAUGCCAAAGAUUUUUUUUAUGGUUUUGUAAUACAAAGUGUGAAGGGUGGAAUGACUUUGUUUUGAAAGACUCGGUUUCCUUCCAAUUUGAUUAAAAGUAGCCUAUCAUUGCAAACUGAAA